rnacentral:rRNA from 1 species
CCUACGGGUGGCAGCAGUGGGGAAUAUUGGGCAAUGGGCGCAAGCCUGACCCAGCAACGCCGCGUGAAGGAAGAAGGCUUUCGGGUUGUAAACUUCUUUUCUGAGUGACGAAGAAAGUGACGGUACCUCAGGAAUAAGCCACGGCUAACUACGUGCCAGCAGCCGCGGCAAUACGUAGGUGGCAAGCGUUAUCCGGAUUUAAUGGGUUUAAAGGUCUUGUAGGCGGGAAAGCAAGUCAGAUGUGAAAACUCAGGGCUAAACCCUGAGACUGCAUUGGAAACUGUUUUUCUUGAGUGCUGGAGAGGCAAUCGGAAUUCCGGGUGUAGCGGUGAAAUGCGUAGAUAUAAGGAGGAACACCAGUGGCGAAGGCGGAUUGCUGGACAGUAACUGACGCUGAGGCGCGAAAGCGUGGGGAGCAAACAGGAUUAGAUACCCCGGUAGUC